UACAGAGGUAUCAAGCGUUGUUCGGAAUCACUGGGCGUAAAGGGAGCGUAGGCCGGUCUUUAAGCGUGCCGUGAAAUUUUGUGGCUCAACCAUGAGAGUGCGGCGCGAACUGGAGACCUUGAGUGCGCGGAAGGCAGGCGGAAUUCGUGGUGUAGCGGUGAAAUGCUUAGAUAUCACGAAGAACCCCGAUGGCGAAGGCAGCCUGCCGCAGCGUUACUGACGCUGAAGCUCGAAAGCGCGGGUAUCGAACAGG
rnacentral:rRNA from 1 species